rnacentral:rRNA from 1 species
UACGUAGGGAGCAAGCGUUGUCCGGAAUCAUUGGGCGUAAAGCGCGCGUAGGUGGCUUCGUAAGUCCGUUGUGAAAGUCAAAGGCUCAACCUUUGAAUGCCGAUGGAUACUGCGGAGCUAGAGUACGGAAGAGGCGAGUGGAAUUCCUGGUGUAGCGGUGGAAUGCGCAGAUAUCAGGAGGAACACCAAUAGCGAAGGCAGCUCGCUGGGACGUUACUGACGCUGAGACGCGAAAGCGUGGGGAGCGAACAGG